ensembl:lncRNA
UCACUUACAAUGCCUUUUUUUGAUCAAAUUUAAUUAAUGGAUUGCAAUUACCUGAGCUGAAAUUAGUAGCAUUUAAAUGCAUCCAUUUACUUGAUUAAAGUUAGAUGAUGUGAGAAAGAGAGAAAGAGGUAAGCUAAGCCUGGAGGAACUGAGAAGAACAGAAAGAAAAGUAGAGGGGAGUCGGGUGUCAGUUGCACACAGUGAAGCAAGCUACAAAAAGCCACAGGUAAAUAAAUGACGAGGGACCGUCGUGUCACUUCCUUGUCGGUUGAGCUCGGCUGAAUAUCGUGUAAGGCUCAGUCAUCAUGCACUCUCAGAUUCUCCGCGAAGAGCGCAGUCUGGUUACAUCACUCAAAAACACUAUUCUCGCUCUCCCUUCGCUAUGUUCGUCAUGUUUUCUGGGUCCAAACCAGCCAAAGACUGGGUGGAAUGAAAAUAUCCAGAAGGCUUUAGAAAAGAAAGGAGAAGGUUCUGUCAAGUCCUGUUAUCGGUUAAUUGUGGGUGUUUGAGACUUUAUGUCACAUUUCAAAGAAGGAGCUGUUUUUUUUUAAAUGGAGCUGUUUUAUAUUUCCAUUAUUACUUUAAUGGAACAUUAAUACUAAUAUUACUGACUACAUAAGGAGUUAAAUAUGUGUCCCACACCAUCUUUAAAAUUCUUAAAAUGUUCUCCAGAAUUGUGCCACUACAGAGCUCUCUCUUUCUCUUUUGCCCUCAUUUCUCAUCCCUCUGUCCAUCUCGUUAUUUAUUCAGUAAAAUGGGAGAUUGAUCAGAUAAUUGCAUUAGGAGGGGCAGAUUGGUCAUAAUCAUGGUGGUAUUGGCAGCUCGGGGCUGGAGGCUCAGCACUGACAUUAACUCAGACUCAGCAGUCAGAGGUCAGCGCCACUGAGAUUAAACUCUUCUCUCUUGAUGGUCAGCAUGGUUCGGGCCAUUUUACAGCCUCACAUCACCCCAACUGACCCCUUGAUGACCACUUGACAAAAUGGAGGGGAGGGUGAGGACAAAAGAGAGCUGACCAAGGAGGAUGAGCGUUGAGAUGAAAGGAGGAGGGAGAGGUAACAGAGAGGAGAGGUAACGGCAGACGUGAAAAAAAAGAAGAAAAAAAAUUGCACAAAGACCGCUGCAGCAUACCAAAGGAGUGAGGUCAUGAGCACUUCCUUUGCAUCAAAUUCAUGCCAUCCAUGUACAGUAUGCAUUUCAAACAAAGUUAAUAGUGAUCUUCUCAAUUUUUUAAAUCUCUUUAUUUUUAUUAUUAUUAUUAUUUUUUUUUUUUGUUAAAUUCUGUCCAUUGGGAUCAUUUUACAAUUUAAACCAACAGAGACUGACUAUAUUAGAGUUAUUAGACAAGGUCACUUCUUAAGUCAUGACAUACUUUACUGAUAAAACGCCUCCGCUUCUCUCACAUCUGCCCCCAACCUCUCUAUGGAAGCAAUUACAUCAUAUUAAAAGGUCUAAAGAGGCAUCAGUAAUCAGAGGACAUCUCAAACACAACACAAAUUAAACCCAAGGGCUAAUUGUUGCACAACUCAUUCUAAAAAGAUGGAAAUAAUUGUAACCAGGAGGAUGGAAUAUUCUGUGUACUUUUUUAGGAAAGUUAUGGAGAUUACAACAACAUGUACAUAUUCAAGGAUCCCCCAAAGCAAAUUGACUGAUACACAGAUUAGAUAAUGUUUCUAAUUUACUUGUUAUGCAUAUAUAUCCUCAAAUAGGGCUGGUUGAAUAGUAGGGGUUGUAACAAGCACACUGGAAUUUUACUUCAGCUAUAAAUGUAACACUUAAAUGUAACACUGGGAGUAAUUUAAGGCACAAUGAACUCAUUAUUAAUGUUUUAGAUGUGUACAAGAAAUACAAUUCUCCUCUCCCAAAAUAACAGACGAUUUCAGUAACUAAAGUGAGUUUAAGCAAAAUAAAUGCUUAGUUUAGACUAAAUAGUCUUAUAUA